rnacentral:lncRNA from 1 species
CCCCACCUAUCACAUCAAACUCUUCUCUUUCUCCGUCGACCCCACCCCCACCUCCAACGACGGCUGCGAUGAAUACUCCGGCAAUUUAUCUAACACCAGUGACCGCUUCGACGAUAAUUCCGACAACCUCCCCACGAUGGUUUUGGUGAUCGUUAAUCUUUCCGGCGAAUACCAUUUUCUUUUUUCUUCUUUUUUGGCAAUGAUCCGUGACCAGUCCCAUUAGAUCUGUUGUAACACCCCGACCCCUAGUGGACCGGAACGCUACCUACUUUACUUAGUUUAACCGGUGGUUUAGUAACAAGUGUAUACGUUUUAGCUGAAUCUUACAUUUUCGAAUAAUAAUUUAAAUAACAAUACUUCAAAUACUUUAAAGAAAAACAUUGAAUCAUUUUUCAAAACAACAAAAUGUAAUUUAUUUGAAGAAAACUUAACUUGUUAUCGCAUUCUGCGUUAUUCAAAAUUUUAAAGAAAUAAUAUUGGAAAGCAUUUCAUAAAAAUAAAUCCAAAUCACUUAUUCACCGGAUUUUCAUGGGCUCGUUGCAUCACUCUCCAUCUUCUUCUCCAUCCAUGCCCUAGGUAGAAUUCCUUUAAUUUGUAGAGAUGAGAUUAAACCCGUGAGUUGAAAAACUCAAUAGGUGUCAUAGGUGCAUUCGUGAUCAAGCUAUACAUUUCAAAACAUUAACAUUAUAACUUUUCAUACAUGCCGUACCCGGAGGCACCAUUUGACAUGAAUGGGUAUGCCGUACCCGAUGGCACCAUUUGACAUAUGAACAUUUCUUCAACAUAAAGGGGUAUGCCGUAUCGGAGUGCCAUUUGACAUACAACCAUUAACAUAGAGGGAUAUGCCGUACCGGAGUACCAUUUGAUAUACAAACAUUAACAUGAAUCGAAACUUAUAACUUAACACGAUUAAACACAUUGCACCUCUACCUACCUUUGAUUGAUACUUUUGAAAUUUUGAAAACUUGGAUUGAAAAUUUCGAUGAAACUUGGACGUUAAAAGAAAUGCACUCCUCGGAUGUUUGAAAAUCGUUGAGAAUUGAUGCUUGAAGACACUCCUUGAUAGCACCCCAAAACUUUUAUGAAAAAUGUUUGAAAACACUUCUUAAACUUCUAGAAAAAUAGUUUUCCUCCCUCUUUUUUUCUCUCUUGGAAACUCUUUCUUUAGUUUGUAAAAGCUCUUGCUUUUGGUGUGAGAAAAAUGAGUGAAAUGAGAUCUCUAAAUAUCCUAUAACAUAAAGCAAAUGAAGGGUCAAAUUUCAUUUAACAGAGAAAAC